rnacentral:rRNA from 1 species
CACGUAGGGCGCAAGCGUUGUCCGGAAUUAUUGGGCGUAAAGAGCUCGUAGGCGGUCUGUUGCGUCCGCUGUGAAAACCCGGGGCUUAACCUCGAGCUGUCGGCGGAAACCAUCUGGCUAGAGUCCGGAAGAGGAGAAUGGAAUUCCCGGUGUAGCGGUGAAAUGCGCAGAUAUCGGGAAGAACACCCGUGGCGAAGGCGGUUCUCUGGGACGGUACUGACGCUGAGACGCGAAAGCGUGGGGAGCGAACAGG